UUUAUUGAGAGUUUGAUCCUGGCUCAGGAUGAACGCUGGCGGCGUGCUUAACACAUGCAAGUCGAACGAAGCACUCAGGAGCGAUUUCGGUCAAUCCUGUUUGACUGAGUGGCGGACGGGUGAGUAACGCGUGAGGAACCUGCCUUGCAGUGGGGAAUAACAGUUGGAAACGACUGCUAAUACCGCAUAAUGCAGAGAGACCGCAUGAUCUUUCUGCCAAAGAUUUAUCGCUGUAAGAUGGCCUCGCGUCUGAUUAGCUAGUUGGUGGGGUAACGGCCUACCAAGGCGACGAUCAGUAGCCG
rnacentral:rRNA from 1 species